rnacentral:lncRNA from 1 species
UCGCUCUGUCACCCAGGCUGGACUGCAGUGGCGCGAUCUUGGCUCACUGCAACCUCCGCCUCCUGGAUUCAAGCGAUUCUUCUGCCUCAGCCUCCCGAGUAGCUAGGAUUACAGGCAUGUGUCACCACGCCCGGCUAAUUUUGUAUUUUUAGUAGAGACGGGGUUUCUCCGUGUUGGUCAGGCUGGUCUCGAACUCCUGACCUCAGGUGAUCUGCCCGCCUCGGCCUCCCAAAGUGCUGAGAUUACAGACGUGAGCCACCGUGCCUGGCGGAAUUUUCAUAUUUUAAGUCCCCCACCCUUGGACAUUUAGAUUUUUUCCAUCUUUCUGUAUUUGCAGAUAUGCUUCUACGUACACCUUUAUUCAUUUGCUUGAACAUUUCCCUGAGAAAAACUAGAAAUGGAAUUGCCAGAUUACUUUGUGUACAUGUUUCCAAACUGUCCUCCAGAAAGAAUGUAAUGCUUUGAACUUCCACUUGAGAAUCAAAUGUUUACCUUCCUCUGUUCCUCCAGAUUUGGACAUUUACAGUGUUCAGCCGUUGUUGUGGCAUUCCAAUUCAAUUGGGAAACAGCUUGAUGUAGCGUCCCCAUAAGGUCCACAGUAAUUAAAUUUUUUUUUUUUUUUUUUGGUGCGGUAGUGCAAUUUCAUGGCUCACUGCAACCUCCACCUCCCAGGUUCAAGCGAUCCUCCCAUCUCAGCCUCCCUAGUAGCUGGGAUUACAGGUGCACGCCACCACACCAGGCUAAUUUUUGUAUUUUUAGUAGAGAUGGGGUUUCACCAGGUUAGCCAGGCUGGUCUUGAACUCCAGACCUCAAGGGAUCCGCCUGCCUCAGCUUUCCAAAGUGCUGGGAUUACAGGUGGAGACUGGACCUCAGAAGAGGGAGUGGGUGCCCCGAGAACUCACAGCUAGCGGACAGUGGAAAGGGCAGGAGCCGGACCAAGGUGAGGACAGUGGAACUGAAGGCCGCUGGUUACCUCUCCUGCCCUCCGCUGGCCACAGUGGAGAAGACAGCCCCUCCCUCCUGCUCUGACCUGACAGUGUUCAUCCAUCGCCCUGUAUUAGCGAAGAACAACAUCAAGCUGGCUAGCAAGGAACUGUAUACAGGGUCCAGCUGGGUAUCACACUGGAUCUCACCCAAAGCUUAGAUGUGAUCCAGCUCAGUAUCACAAAGCAGAACGAAAAGGAUGUGUUUGGGCUGAGAGGCCAUACAUUGGUAAGUGGCACAUGAACUGUAUUUUCUAUUGAGCAUUGCUGGUAUAUGGCAAAUUUGCAUAAAAUUAUAUUGAAAUUGACUACCGGAUUGCACUUUCUUGUUCCUUCUGAUAAUUUUUCACGUGUUCUUUUUCUUUCUUACUUUAGAUGGAGUCUUGCUCUGUCGCCCAGGCUGGAGUCCAGUGGCGCGAUCUCGGUUCACUGCAAGCUCUGCCUCCCGAGUUCAUGCCAUUCUCCUGCCUCAGCCUCCUGAGUAGCUGGGACUACAGGCACCUGCCACCACGG